AUUGAACGCUGGCGGCAGGCCUAACACAUGCAAGUCGAGCGGAUGAAGGGAGCUUGCUCCUGGAUUCAGCGGCGGACGGGUGAGUAAUGCCUAGGAAUCUGCCUGGUAGUGGGGGAUAACGUCCGGAAACGGGCGCUAAUACCGCAUACGUCCUGAGGGAGAAAGUGGGGGAUCUUCGGACCUCACGCUAUCAGAUGAGCCUAGGUCGGAUUAGCUAGUUGGUGGGGUAAAGGCCUACCAAGGCGACGAUCCGUAACUGGUCUGAGAGGAUGAUCAGUCACACUGGAACUGAGACAGGGUCCAGACUCCUACGGGAGGCAGCAGUGGGGAAUAUUGGACAGUGGGCGAAAGCCUGAUCCAGCCAUGCCGCGUGUGUGAAGAAGGUCUUCGGAGUGUAAAGCACGUUAAGUUGGGAGGAAGGGCAGUAAGUUAAUACCUUGCUGUUUUGACGUUACCAACAGAAUAAGCACCGGCUAACUUCGUG
rnacentral:rRNA from 1 species